GUGGGGCAACAGGAUUAGAAGGUGUAAUAAGGAAGUAAAAUGAUUCUUUUUCUCUUCUAUAUCUCAAUUCCAAGGAAAAUAUUAUGAAACCAAUAACCAACAAAGUGGAACAGCAUUCAAAAAUAUCGAAGAGGAGAAUCCCAGUGAAGUUUGCAAGAAGAGAGAAUCAUUCAACUUAAUGGGAAGGUUAAAUAUGAAUAUGUCUUAUGUUUCUACGAGCAAUUCUUUAAAAGCUUUAUCUUCCCUCUUAGAAUAUAUUUCCUCAAAGGCAGAAAAGUGGUAAGGGUUAGGCAGUAGGAAUUAAGUGACUUGCCCUGGGCCACAUGGCAAAGGAAUGUCAGAGGUCAGAUUUGAGUCAGGAUCUCCUGACUCUUGGCCUGAUAAGAGCAAUUUUUUAAGGGUACAGAUUGUCCGAAAGAAUUACUAAAAAGCUAAUUAAUGUCAGACCUUUGUGAAUGUGUUUUUAAAACCUUUUCUUACUUUGCCCAUUGGAAACUUCUCAUGAUGCUUCAUCAUGUCAUUGGAGUGAACUGGGUUCUCAAAGAAUAUCGUUAAAAAAUAUCCUAUCAGCCAUUUGCCUUUUUGGCCUCAGUUUCCUAAUUUAGAAAAUGAAGGGGCUAGACUUGAUUAUCUUUAAAGUCUCCUCUGACUCUAAAAUCCUGUGAUUCUAAUUAAUAC
rnacentral:lncRNA from 1 species